rnacentral:rRNA from 1 species
GGGGAAUAUUGCACAAUGGACGGAAGUCUGAUGCAGCGACGCCGCGUGGGGGAUGACGGCCUUCGGGUUGUAAACCUCUUUCGACGCAGGACAAGGCGCUCUUUUUGGGGUGUUGAGGGUAUGUGUGGAAGAAGCACCGGCUAACUACGUGCCAGCAGCCGCGGUAAUACGUAGGGUGCGAGCGUUGUCCGGAUUUAUUGGGCGUAAAGAGCUCGUAGGCGGUUUGUCGCGUCUGUCGUGAAAUCCUCUGGCUUAACUGGGGGCGUGCGGUGGGUACGGGCAGACUGGAGUGUGGUAGGGGAGACUGGAAUUCCUGGUGUAGCGGUGGAAUGCGCAGAUAUCAGGAGGAACACCGGUGGCGAAGGCGGGUCUCUGGGCCAUUACUGACGCUGAGGAGCGAAAGCAUGGGGAGCGAAC